AAUAGAUACCCAGGUAGUCCACGCCGUAAACGAUGAGUGCUAAGUGUUAGAGGGUUUCCACCCCUUUAGUGCUGCAGCUAACGCAUUAAGCACUCCGCCUGGGGAGUACGGCCGCAAGGCUGAAACUCAAAGGAAUUGACGGGGGCCCGCACAAGCGGUGGAGCAUGUGGUUUAAUUCGAAGCAACGCGAAGAACCUUACCAGGUCUUGACAUCCUCUGACCUCCCUGGAGACAGGGCCUUCCCUUUCGGGGGACAGAGUGACAGGUGGUGCAUGGUUGUCGUCAGCUCGUGUCGUGAGAUGUUGGGUUAAGCCCGCAACGAGCGCAACCCUUGACCUUAGUUGCCAGCAUUGAGUUGGGCACUCUAAGGUGACUGCCGGUGACAAACCGGGAGGAAGGUGGGGAUGACGUCAAAUCAUCAUGCCCCUUAUGACCUGGGCUACACACGUGCUACAAUGGAUGGUACAAAGGGCUGCGAGACCGCGAGGUUAAGCCAAUCCCAGAAAACCCGAUUCCCAGUUCGGAUUGCAGGCUG
rnacentral:rRNA from 1 species